rnacentral:rRNA from 1 species
UACGUAGGGGGCGAGCGUUGUCCGGAAUUAUUGGGCGUAAAGAGCUCGUAGGCGGUCUGUCGCGUCGGAUGUGAAAAUCCAGGGCUCAACCCUGGACCUGCAUUCGAUACGGGCAGACUAGAGUUCGGUAGGGGAGACUGGAAUUCCUGGUGUAGCGGUGAAAUGCGUAGAGAUCAUGAGGAAGACCAGUGGCGAAGGCGGGUCUCUGGACAGUUCCUGACACUGAGGCACGAAGGCCAGGGGAGCAAACGGG